AAAAAACGUAAGAAAAUCGGAUA
rnacentral:snRNA from 1 species